rnacentral:ncRNA from 1 species
GAGAGCCGUGUGAUGGGUGACUAUCUAGCACGGUUCAGAGAGCACGUGUAUGUAGUCUUCGGUUGGUUCGUUCAGGUGGUAUAUAUAUAUCUCUCUCUCUCUCGCGUGUGUGGAGUAUACUAUGAAGUAAAAUGGUGUGCAUGUUCUAAACCUUGGAUAACUCUCAU